UGGCUCAGGACGAACGCUGGCGGCGUGCCUAAUACAUGCAAGUCGAGCGGACUUUAAAAGCUUGCUUUUAAAGUUAGCGGCGGACGGGUGAGUAACACGUGGGCAACCUGCCUGUAAGACUGGGAUAACUUCGGGAAACCGGAGCUAAUACCGGAUAAUCCUUUUCCUCUCAUGAGGAAAAGCUGAAAGACGGUUUACGCUGUCACUUACAGAUGGGCCCGCGGCGCAUUAGCUAGUUGGUGAGGUAACGGCUCACCAAGGCGACGAUGCGUAGCCGACCUGAGAGGGUGAUCGGCCACACUGGGACUGAGACACGGCCCAGACUCCUACGGGAGGCAGCAGUAGGGAAUCUUCCGCAAUGGACGAAAGUCUGACGGAGCAACGCCGCGUGAGUGAUGAAGGUUUUCGGAUCGUAAAACUCUGUUGUUAGGGAAGAACAAGUACAAGAGUAACUGCUUGUACCUUGACGGUACCUAACCAGAAAGCCACGGCUAACUACGUGCCAGCAGCCGCGGUAAUACGUAGGUGGCAAGCGUUGUCCGGAAUUAUUGGGCGUAAAGCGCGCGCAGGCGGUCCUUUAAGUCUGAUGUGAAAGCCCACGGCUCAACCGUGGAGGGUCAUUGGAAACUGGGGGACUUGAGUGCAGAAGAGAAGAGUGGAAUUCCACGUGUAGCGGUGAAAUGCGUAGAGAUGUGGAGGAACACCAGUGGCGAAGGCGACUCUUUGGUCUGUAACUGACGCUGAGGCGCGAAAGCGU
rnacentral:rRNA from 2 species